rnacentral:rRNA from 1 species
UACGUAGGGUGCGAGCGUUGUCCGGAAUUAUUGGGCGUAAAGAGCGCGUAGGCGGGCAUUUAAGUCAGGAGUGAAAACUGCCGGCUCAACUGGCAGCCUGCUCUUGAAACUGGAUUUCUUGAGGGUAUGAGAGGAAAGCGGAAUUCCUAGUGUAGCGGUGAAAUGCGUAGAUAUUAGGAGGAACACCAGUGGCGAAGGCGGCUUUCUGGCAUACAACUGACGCUGAGGCGCGAAAGCGUGGGGAGCAAACGGG